UCCUCGUUAGCUCAGUCGGUAGAGCGGGUGGCUGUUAACCACUAGGUCGGCAGUUCAAGUCUGUCACGAGGAGCCA
rnacentral:tRNA from 1 species